UUUGACCUCGGAUCAGGUAGGGAUACCCGCUGAACUUAAGCAUAUCAAUAAGCGGAGGAAAAGAAACCAACAGGGAUUGCCCUAGUAACGGCGAGUGAAGCGGCAAGAGCUCAAAUUUGAAAUCUGGCCCCUCUAGGGUCCGAGUUGUAAUUUGUAGAGGGCGCUUUGGCGUCGGCCACGGCCUAAGUUCCUUGGAACAGGACGCCACAGAGGGUGAGAACCCCGUACGUGGCCGCUGGCCUUCGCCGUGUAAAGCCCCUUCGACGAGUCGAGUUGUUUGGGGAUGCAGCUCUAAAUGGGAGGUAAAUUUCUUCUAAAGCUAAAUACUGGCCAGAGACCGAUAGCGCACAAGUAGAGUGAUCGAAAGAUGAAAAGCACUUUGGAAAGAGAGUCAAAAAGCACGUGAAAUUGUUGAAAGGGAAGCGCUUGCAGCCAGACUUGCCUGUAGUUGCUCAUCCGAGCUCCCGCUCGGUGCACUCUUCUACGGGCAGGCCAGCAUCAGUCCGGGCGGUCGGAUAAAGGCCUCGGGAAUGUAGCUCCCUCCGGGGAGUGUUAUAGCCCGGGGUGCCAUGCGACCAGCCUGGACUGAGGUCCGCGCAUCUGCUAGGAUGCUGGCGUAAUGGCUGUAAGCGGCCCGUCUUGAAACACGGACCAAGGAGUCUAACAUCUAUGCGAGUGUUUGGGUGUCAAGCCCGGGCGCGCAAUGAAAGUGAACGGAGGUGGGAACCCCUCGGGGCGCACCAUCGACCGAUCCUGAUGUCUUCGGAUGGAUUUGAGUAAGAGCAUAGCUGUUGGGACCCGAAAGAUGGUGAACUAUGCCUGAAUAGGGUGAAGCCAGAGGAAACUCUGGUGGAGGCUCGCAGCGGUUCUGACGUGCAAAUCGAUCGUCAAAUUUGGGCAUAGGGGCGAAAGACUAAUCGAACUAUCUAGUAGCUGGUUCCUGCCG
rnacentral:rRNA from 1 species